rnacentral:tRNA from 1 species
GCCUGGCUGGCUCAGUCAGUAGAGCAUGUGACCCUUGAUCUCAGGGUCAUGAGUUCAAGUCCCAUGUUUGGGG